rnacentral:rRNA from 1 species
AAUCUUAGACAAUGGGGGAAACCCUGAUCUAGCCAUGCCGCGUGAGCGAUGAAGGCCUUAGGGUUGUAAAGCUCUUUCAGAUGGGAAGAUAAUGACGGUACCAUCAGAAGAAGCCCCGGCUAACUCCGUGCCAGCAGCCGCGGUAUUACGGAGGGGGCUAGCGUUGUUCGGAAUUACUGGGCGUAAAGCGCGCGUAGGCGGAUUGGAAAGUUGGGGGUGAAAUCCCGGGGCUCAACCUCGGAACUGCCUUCAAAACUCCCAGUCUUGAGUUCGAGAGAGGUGAGUGGAAUUCCGAGUGUAGAGGUGAAAUUCGUAGAUAUUCGGAGGAACACCAGUGGCGAAGGCGGCUCACUGGCUCGAUACUGACGCUGAGGUGCGAAAGCGUGGGGAGCAAACAGG